rnacentral:rRNA from 1 species
UGCAGUCGAACGGUAACAUUUCUAGCUUGCUAGAAGAUGACGAGUGGCGGACGGGUGAGUAAUGCUUGGGAACUUGCCUUUGGGAGGGGGAUAACAGUUGGAAACGACUGCUAAUACCGCAUAAUGUCUACGGACCAAAGGGGGCUUAGACUCCUACCUGAAGAGAGGCCCAAGUGAGAUUAGCUAGUUGGUAAGGUAACGGCUUACCAAGGCAACGAUCUCUAGCUGUUCUGAGAGGAAGAUCAGCCACACUGGGACUGAGACACGGCCCAGACUCCUACGGGAGGCAGCAGUGGGGAAUAUUGCACAAUGGGGGAAACCCUGAUGCAGCCAUGCCGCGUGUGUGAAGAAGGCCUUCAGGUUGUAAAGCACUUUCAGUUGUGAGGAAAGGUUGGUAGUUAAUACCUGCCAGCUGUGACGUUAACAACAGAAGAAGCACCGGCUAACUCCGUGCCAGCAGCCGCGGUAAUACGGAGGGGGUUAGCGUUGU